ensembl:lncRNA
GUCCACGCGCGCCCUCAGCCUCCAGCAUCCCGCACCUACUCUCAGGCAUCCCGGAACUCUAGGACUGUGUGGAGAGAGCCGGCCUAGUCCCCAGUCCAUCUUCCUAGCGGUUACCUUCUUUCACUCCUGACACGGAGAAGGGAACGUUCUUGGUGCCAGGAAGAUAAACCCGGGCCUCUGGGAGUCAGGCCUCCCAGGCGUCUCUCAGCAACGGAGGACUCUUACUUACGCGUCCCUGGACAGCAAGACUGAGGAACUCUCCUGAGAUAACAGAACUUGGGGAGCUACCCCACGUCCGAGGUCAGGGGUGGUGGCCAAGAAGAGCAACCCCACGUCCAAGGAGAGGUGGCUGCACGGGCGCAGGACGACCGAGAGGAGCUACUCCACAUUCAGGGUCAGGAGGGGUGACAUCGUCCAACGUAAGGAGCAGCGGCUGUGCUUUGAUGUAGCAGCUGUGAAGAGAUACCCUACAUCCAAGUCAUUCUACUCGAGUAACCUACAACAUGUGGUCUCUGGAAGACUCCUCUGUACACUCAGCAAAGAAUGAGGAUGAAAAAGGCAAACAACAUCUUUGUGUGACAAAACCGACUUUGACCCUGAGGAUCCUAGAAAGGGUCUUGAGGACUUCUCUGGGCUGUACUGAGAACAGCUGCCCUAGUCACAUUUUACAUAUAAGAAAGUUGAAUCUCCAGAGAGAUCAACUGAGAUCCAAAAUGGUAAGGCCUGUUAACAAUGGGAUACAGAUCCUGGAUGGUUUGUCUCACUUCCCUAGGUUUAGGUUCCCAAUCAGAAAUACACCCUAAUGACCUGUCCUGCCUGCUGUAGUUGCAGGAACUGCCAAAAUAUAUUAACAACAACAACUAAUUGUUUUAAAUAAAACAGAAGAGGAAAACCAACACAGGUGAUGAAUUCUGCAAUGGAGUACUGUGUUAGCACUUGAAUGAGGAUUCUACUAGAACUGAAACACUAAGACAAACUCUGUUGCACUCUCCUCCACACGCACUGACAGCACAGUCAAUACCACAGAGAAAUACAGAAAGCAGAAUUACCAUUUACAACAUCACCAAUUAUCACAUUUUGUGAAUCUGAGACGCAAUUCAUGACAGUCUGAAAAAUUUUUACAAGUACUGAAUGAAAAGGUAUUGGGUAUAUUGAGACUUCAAAUAAACUGGCCAUCAUGGGGGAUUUUUCAGAUAAAAUGGAGUUGUUUUGAAAUACAGAUAUUUUUCAUUCUUUAACAGGACCUUAUUUGCCUUUUAUGUAUUGGUUUGGCUCAGAAGUUCUUUUGGUUUUUAAGUAAAAAUAAAAGAACAUUUUUCACUUUCACUAAGAACUGAACAAUGUAUUCACCAUUUUGUUCCACUACCUUCUGCCAUUUUUCAGGCAACUUCAUAAUUCCAUCUUCCCAAAACUUUUUAUUUUUUUGAGCAAAGAACUGUUCCAGGUACCUUUUGCAGUCUUCCAGAGAACUGAAAUUUUUUCCAUUGAGAGAAUUUUGUAAAGAUCGAAAUAAAUGGAAAUCUGAAGGUUCAAUGUCUGGGGAAUAUGGUGGAGGAAUCAGAAUUUGCCAGCCAAGCUGUAAUGAUUUUUGUCUGGUCAUCAAAGAAACUUGUGGUCUUGCGUUAUCCUGAUGAAAGAUUAUGCAGUUUCUGUUGACUGAUUCUGGACGCUUUUCAUUGAGUGCUGCUUUCAGUUGGUCUAACUGGGAGCAGUACUUCUUGGAAUUGACUGUUUGGUUUUCUGGAAAGAGCUCAUUAUAGAGGACUCCUAUCUAAUCCCACCAUAUACACAACAUCACCUUCUUUGGAUGAAGACCAGCCUUUUGUGUGG